rnacentral:tRNA from 2 species
GGGGAUGUAGCUCAGUUGGCUAGAGCGCUUGACUGGCAGUCAAGAGGUCGUGGGUUCGAAUCCCAUCUUCUCCACUA